AUGCGAAAAGUAAUGUGAAUUGCAGAAUUCAGUGAAUCAUCGAAUCUUUGAACGCACAUUGCGCCCGCCAGUAUUCUGGCGGGCAUGCUUGUCUGAGCGUCAUUUCAACCCUCAUGCCCCCCGGGGCGUGGUGUUGGGGAUCGGCCGAAGCCCGCAAGGGACGGGCCGUCCCCUAAAUAUAGUGGCGGACCCGCUGUGGCCUCCCCUGUGUAGUAGUGAUAUUCCACAUUGGAGCAGCAGCGAGACCCUGCCGUUAAACCCCCAACUUUCUAAGGUUGACCUCAGAUCAAGUAGGAAUACCCGCUGAACUUAA
rnacentral:misc_RNA from 1 species